rnacentral:misc_RNA from 1 species
GAUGAAGAACGCAGUGAAAUGCGAUAAGUAAUGUGAAUUGCAGAAUUCAGUGAAUCAUCGAAUCUUUGAACGCAUCUUGCGCUCCUUGGUAUUCUGAGGAGCAUGCCUGUUUGAGUGUCAUUAAAUUCUCAACUACACUGACUUUGAAUUGGUGUGGCUUGGAUUUGGGGGGAAAAUUGUUGUGGGCUUUUUGUAUAGUCUGCUCCCCUGAAAUUGAUUAGCGGUACCUUUGUGGAACUGUCUACAGGUGUGAUAAUUAUCUACAUCUUAGACAUCUGCUGGAAUGCUGCUUUCUAAACCUUACUUGUAUUGACAAUCUUGACCUCAAAUCGGGUAGGACUACCCGCUGAACUUAAGCAUAUCAAUAAGCGGAGGA